rnacentral:misc_RNA from 1 species
AAGUCGUAACAAGGUUUCCGUAGGUGAACCUGCGGAAGGAUCAUUAACGAAAAGAAUUUUGUUGCUUUUUUUCCUUUUAGGGGGAGUUGAGCAAUUUAAAAUUUUAAACCCCUAUGUGAACAAAAAGUUCAAGAGAAUGACUGUUUUCCUAAUUAAGGAGAAUGGAAAAUUUUCAAGAAUUAUUAUAAACAAUUAUUCGACUGAAUGUUUUAUUAAAAAAAAUACAACUUUUAACAAUGGAUCUCUAGGCUCUC